rnacentral:rRNA from 1 species
CCAGACUCCUACGGGAGGCAGCAGUAGGGAAUCUUCGGCAAUGGACGAAAGUCUGACCGAGCAACGCCGCGUGGGUGAAGAAGGUUUUCGGAUCGUAAAGCUCUGUUGUAAGAGAAGAACGGGUGUGAGAGUGGAAAGUUCACACUGUGACGGUAUCUUACCAGAAAGGGACGGCUAACUACGUGCCAGCAGCCGCGGUAAUACGUAGGUCCCGAGCGUUGUCCGGAUUUAUUGGGCGUAAAGCGAGCGCAGGCGGUUAGAUAAGUCUGAAGUUAAAGGCUGUGGCUUAACCAUAGUACGCUCUGGAAACUGUUUAACUUGAGUGCAGAAGGGGAGAGUGGAAUUCCAUGUGUAGCGGUGAAAUGCGUAGAUAUAUGGAGGAACACCGGUGGCGAAAGCGGCUCUCUGGUCUGUAACUGACGCUGAGGCUCGAAAGCGUGGGGAGCGAACAGGAUUAGAUACCCUGGUAGUCCACGCCGUAAACGAUGAGUGCUAGGUGUUAGGCCCUUUCCGGGGCUUAGUGCCGCAGCUAACGCAUUAAGCACUCCGCCUGGGGAGUACGACCGCAAGGUUGAAACUCAAAGGAAUUGACGGGGGCCCGCACAAG